rnacentral:siRNA from 1 species
UGCUCAUCAUUGGUGCUUCA